ACUGAGUGGAUUGGAGCUUUCCAUUAUGCUGAGAGUGUCACAUAAAUUCCCAUGUGGAGGUCAUGGACUACAUCACAAAGAUUGGCCACAAUUUCAGAAUAAAAAAAUGGUUGGAAAUCAAAUGCCAUGCUCAGCCUCGUGGUGCUGUUUUACCAUCUCAUCCCAGAAUUUGAACACAGAGACUACAGCCAAAGAAGGUGAAGGAGUUCAGACAUGUCUACUACAAUAUCACUGAAAGCCAGACAAAAUAAAAGUAUUGUUUCUACCCA
rnacentral:lncRNA from 1 species